rnacentral:rRNA from 1 species
AGCAGCCGCGGUAAUUCCAGCUCCAAUAGCGUAUAUUAAAGUUGUUGCAGUUAAAAAGCUCGUAGUUGGAUUUCGGGGUUAGUAGGUUGGUCAUGCCUCUGGUAUGUACUGGUCUCACUGAUUCCUCCUUCCUGAUGAACCCUUAAUGCCAUUAAUUUGGUGUUUUGGGGAAUUUGGACUGUUACUUUGAAAAAAUUAGAGUGUUUAAAGCAAGCUAACGCUUGAAUACAUUAGCAUGGAAUAAUGAAAUAGGACGUUCGAUCCUAUUUUGUUGGUUUCUAGGAUUGACGUAAUGAUUAAUAGGGAUAGUUGGGGGCAUUAGUAUUCAAUUGUCAGAGGUGAAAUUCUUGGAUUUUAUUGAAGACUAACUACUGCGAAAGCAUUUGCCUAAGGAUGUUUUCAUUAAUCAAGACGAAAGUUAGGGGAUCGAAGACGAUCAGAUACCGUCGUAGUCUUAACCAUAAACUAUAGCCGACUAGGGAUCGGAUGAUGUUAAUUUUUAAUGUACUCAUUCGGCGCC